UCUUAAUAACACCUGUUAUAGAGAGGAAAAGCGAUGCUGAGGGUUGGGCAUGCGUCUGAUUAGCUAGUUGGCGGGGUAACGGCCCACCAAGGCGACGAUCAGUAACUGGUCUGAGAGGAUGAUCAGUCACACUGGCACUGAGACACGGGCCAGACUCCUACGGGAGGCAGCAGUAGGGAAUAUUGGUCAAUGGACGCAAGUCUGAACCAGCCACGCCGCGUGGAGGAAGAAGGUUCUCUGGAUCGUAAACUCCUUUUAUAUGGGAAUAAAUGAGGGCUAUACGCCUAAGCUGAAUGUACCAUAGGAAUAAGCCACGGCUAACUACGUGCCAGCAGCCGCGGUAAUACGUAGGUGGCAAGCGUUGUCCGGAUUUAUUGGGUUUAAAGGGUGCGUAGGCGGUUUGAUCAGUCAGUCGUUAAAGGCAGCAGCUUAACUGUUGUAAGGCGAUUGAUACUGUCGAACUUGAAUUCGUUUGAGGUACUUGGAAUGCGUAGUGUAGCGGUGAAAUGCAUAGAUAUUACGCGGAACGCCAAUUGCGGAGGCAGAGUACUAGGACGAGAUUGACGCUGAGGCACGAAAGUGUGGGUAGCAAACAGGAUUAGAUACCCUGGUAGUCCACACUGUAAACGAUGAUCACUAGAUGUUCGGCUGUCAUGGCUGAGUGUUCAAGCGAAAGCGAUAAGUGAUCCACCUGGGGAGUACGCCGGCAACGGUGAAACUCAAAGGAAUUGACGGGGGCCCGCACAAGCGGUGGAGCAUGUGGUUUAAUUCGAUGAUACGCGAGGAACCUUACCUAGGCUAGAAUGUGAGUGAAUGAUAGGGAAACUUAUCAGUCCAGCAAUGGACACGAAACAAGGUGCUGCAUGGUUGUCGUCAGCUCGUGCCGUGAGGUGUUGGGUUAAGUCCCGCAACGAGCGCAACCCCUAUUGAUAGUUGCCAGCACGUAAUGGUGGGAACUCUAUCGAGACUGCCUUCGCAAGGAGCGAGGAAGGAGGGGAUGACGUCAAAUCAUCAUGGCCCUUACGCCUAGGGCUACACACGUGCUACAAUGGACGAUACAAAGGGGAGCUACCUAGUAAUAGGAUGCAAAUCUCAAAAAGUCGUUCUCAGUUCGGAUUGGGGUCUGCAACUCGACCUCAUGAAGCUGGAAUCGCUAGU
rnacentral:rRNA from 1 species